rnacentral:rRNA from 1 species
CUGACAUGAAGCUAGGCCAGCAAACCUGCUGAAUUUAAGCAUAUGAGUAAGCGGAGGAUAAGAAGCUAAAAAGGAUUCCCUCAGUAAUGGCGAAUGAACAGGGACAUGCUCAGCAUGAAAAUCGGGGCCUGCGGGCCUGAGUUGUAGUCUCGGGAGAUACUGCCAACAGAGGCGCUGCUGUAUGUCUCUUGGAAAUGAGUAUCAAUGAGGGCGAGGGUCCUGUUUGUCAGUGGCAGCCCACUGUGCACGGUGUACAUUCUAAGAGUCACGUUCCUUGGGAUUGGAGUGCAAUGCGGGUGGUAAGCUUCAUCCAAAGCUACAUAUGGGCUCAAGACCGAUAGCAAACAAGUACCAUGAGGGAAAGGUGAAAAGGACUUUGAAAAGAAAGGUAACAGUGCCUGAAAUCGCUGAAAAGGAAGUGAGCGAAGCCAAUGUGUCUUGGUGAGAUUGCUGCACACAAGUGCCAUUUGCUUGCUGCGCCAGCACACGUGUGGCAGUAAGUCUUGCGCAGGUUGCGUGCAGUGCUUUUUGCCUUGCCUGUCAACGUCGCUUCACGCUUGAGGAAGAUUUCAAGGACAUGGUAGCUCCCCCCAAAGGGGCGAAUAUCUUCAGUGUACUCAUGCGAGGGGUGCUCGGAGAGUAAAUGGCAGCGCUCGACCCGUCUUGAAACACGGACCAAGGAGUCUAACCUGUAUGCAAGCUUGUGGAUGGAGAAGGUUUUUGUGCACAAUGAAAGUUACUGCUGGGAUUUUUGCACCAGCCACCGACCUAUCAAUUGAGAGAGGUUUGAGUAUGAGCAUAUUUGUUAGGACCCGAAAGAUGGUGAACUACGCCUGUGAAGGGCAAGCUCAGGGGAAACUCUGAUGGAGGCUCAUAGCGAAACUGACGUGCAAAUCGUUCGUCAUACAUGGGUAUAGGGGCGAAAGACUAAUCGAACCAUCUAGUAGCUGGUUCCCUCCGAAGUUUCCCUCAGGAUAGCUGGAGUUGAUCAGUUUUAUCAGGUAAAGCCAAUGACUAGAGGAAUUGGGGACGCCUUGUCUUUGACCUAUUCUCAAACUUUAAAUGGGUAGGAUCCAGUGGUUACUUUGAUGAACUUCAGGGAUAAAUGACAACUCGAAGUGGGCCAUUUUUGGUAAGCAGAACUGGCGAUGAGGGAUGAACCUAACAUUGGGUCAAGGUGCUCAACUGCUCGCUCAUCAGAUACCAUAAAGGGUGUUGGUUCAUUU